GGAAGUAAAAGUCGUAACAAAGUCUCCGUAGGUGAACCUGCGGAGGGAUCAUUACAGAGUUCAUGCCCUACCGGGUAGAUCUCCCACCCUAUGUUAUUAUUACUUUGUUGCUUUGGCGGGCCGUUAGGCUCCGGCCCGACUACCGGCCCCGGCUGGUAAGCGCCCGCCAGAAGACCCAAAACCCUGAAUAUUAGUGUCGUCUGAGUACUAUAUAAUAGUUAAAACUUUCAACAACGGAUCUCUUGGUUCUG
rnacentral:misc_RNA from 1 species